AUAUAAUAGGCAUUUAUCCGAUGUUUUUUGCAUUUUUAUGCCCCUUUCCAAUCAGGGAGAUUACUAAGGAGUGGGGCCAGUUCCAAUUAUGGGCUGCACCACACCCAUGGAGGGGACGGAUGGCAAAGGAUGAAGAUCACUGGGCCAGGACCAUCACUGUGAUAAAACUUUUCAGAUGCUGCACCAGGAUGCGAAUCAUGCCAAUGCAUUACCACUCCAGCUGCCACAUUUAUCCGAUUACUAGCAAAUGGAUUAAAACAUUCUUAUUUAAUAAUAAUCAAAAAUAAAUAUAUUUUUUUC
rnacentral:lncRNA from 1 species